AGGUCACCGCUAUUGGAAUCCGACUAAGCCAUGCGAGUUUAAAGGAUUUCGGUCCUUGGCUGAUUGCUCAGUAACACGUGGAAAACCUGCCCUUAGGAGGGAGAUAAUCUCGGGAAACUGAGAAUAAUAUCCCAUAGGUUAUGGAUGCUGGAAUGCUCCAUAGCCGAAAGUUCUGACGCCUAAGGAUGGUUCUGCGGCCUAUCAGGUAGUAGUUGGGGUAACGGCCCAACUAGCCUACGACGGGUACGGGCCCUGAUAGGGGGAGCCCGGAGAUGAAUUCUGAGACACGAGUUCAGACCCUACGGGGUGCAGCAGGCGCGAAAACUCCGCAAUGCUCGAAAGAGCGACGGGGGGAUUCCAAGUGCCUACGUUAUGCGUGGGCUGUUUCUCUACCUAAAAAGUGGGGAGAGUAAGAGCUGGGUAAGACGGGUGCCAGCCGCCGCGGUAAUACCUGCGGCUCGAGUGGUGAUCGCUAUUAUUGGGCCUAAAGCGUCCGUAGCCGGUUUGGUAAAUGCUUGGGUAAAUCGUGCGGCUCAACCGCGCGAAAUUCCGAGUAGACUGCCAAACUUGGGACUGGGAGAAGUCGGAGGUAUUCCAUGGGUAGGAGUGAAAUCCUGUAAUCCUUGGAGGACCACCGGUAGCGAAGGCGUCCGACUAGAACGGAUCCGACGGUGAGGGACGAAACCCUGGGGAGCGAACCGGAUUAGAUACCCGGGUAGUCCAGGGCGUAAACGAUGUGGGCUUCGCAUUGAAGACCGUAUGGUUUUCAGUGCUGGAACGAAGGCGUUAAGCCCACCGCCUGGGAAGUACGGCCGCAAGGCUGAAACUUAAAGGAAUUGACGGGGGAGCACAGCAACGGGAGGAGCGUGCGGUUC
rnacentral:rRNA from 1 species